CUCUAAGCUUCAGCUCACGAAGACCGUACCGCAAACCGACACAGGUAGGCAGGGUGAGAAUCCCAAGGCGCUUGAGAGAACUCGGGUGAAGGAACUAGGCAACAUAGCACCGUAACUUCGGGAGAAGGUGCACCCAAGAGUGUGGCUACAUGCGUAGCUGAGCACUCCUGGGUCGCAGUGACCAGGCCGCUGCGACUGUUUAUCAAAAACACAGCACUCUGCAAACACGAAAGUGGACGUAUAGGGUGUGACGCCUGCCCGGUGCCGGAAGGUUAAUUGAUGGGGUCAGCGCAAGCGAAGCUCUUGAUCGAAGCCCCGGUAAACGGCGGCCGUAACAAUAACGGUCCUAAGGUAGCGAAAUUCCUUGUCGGGUAAGUUCCGACCUGCACGAAUGGCGUAACGACAGCGGCGCUGUCUCCACCCGAGACUCAGUGAAAUUGAAAUCGCUGUGAAGAUGCAGCGUUCCCGCGGCAAGACGGAAAGACCCCGUGAACCUUUACUAUAGCUUUACAUUGAACGUUGAGUUCGUCUGUGUAGCAUAGGUGGGAGCCUUUGAAGUUUGGGCGCUAGCUCAGAUGGAGGCAACCUUGAAAUACCACCCUGAUGUGCUUGACGUUCUAACCUCGGCCCGUUAUCCGGGUCAGGGACCAUGUAUGGUGGGUAGUUUGACUGGGGCGGUCUCCUCCCAAAGAGUAAUGGAGGAGCUCGAAGGUACGCUCAGCGCGGUCGGACAUCGCGCACUGUGUGCAAAGGCAUAAGCGUGCUUGACUGCAAGAUCGACGGAUCAAGCAGGUAGGAAACUAGGACUUAGUGAUCCGGUGGUUCUGUACGGAAGGACCAUCGCUCAACGGAUAAAAGGUACUCCGGGGAUAACAGGCUGAUACCGCCCAAGAGUUCAUAUCGACGGCGGUGUUUGGCACCUCGAUGUCGGCUCAUCGCAUCCUGGGGCUGUAGUCGGUCCCAAGGGUAUGGCUGUUCGCCAUUUAAAGCGGUACGCGAGCUGGGUUCAGAACGUCGUGAGACAGUUCGGUCCCUAUCUGUCGUGGGCGUUGGAGGUUUGAGAGGGGCUGCUCCUAGUACGAGAGGACCGGAGUGGACGUAUCUCUGGUGUUCCGGUUGUCACGCCAGUGGCACUGCCGGGUAGCUAUAUACGGAAGAGAUAACCGCUGAAAGCAUCUAAGCGGGAAACUCGCCUCAAGAUGAGACCUCCCGGGGCACAAGCCCCCUAAAGGAACGAUGAAGACUACGUCGUUGAUAGGCUGGGUGUGUACAACCGCAAGGUUUAGCUAACCAGUACUAAUGAUCCGUGUGGCUUGAUC
rnacentral:rRNA from 1 species